rnacentral:lncRNA from 1 species
CAAAUCAGAUCAUCUUCGAUAAGAAGAAUCACUGUCAAUCUAUUCCAGCUAUGACUUACAUCUGAAUCUCAAUAGCUCAACUCUAGCUAGCACCAACCUUAUCAAUCUUCCCGCACACUUCUUGAUCACUGGAUCCUUAACACCUCUGACUCCUCGCCUAGCCUUAGCUUUACUCGCAAUCAUAGACUAGCCAUUCAUCUUUAAUCCUUUCUGAAAUGAUUAAGAAAGGAAUAGCAAGAGUGAGCAACAAUGCUCAGCAAGUAAUAAUAAACAAUGAAAGUUCUGAAGUGAUAUAACAGAAAUUCUUGAGUUCAAGAUAUAAAAAGAUUCAACCUGAGUUCACAAAUUCAGGUAUUGUAUAAAAGAAUCACAAUACCUUGCAGCAAUAGAAACCUGAGGAAUUCAAUCCUUCACAAGAGAAUUAUUGAAUUGGACUAUCACAUUUUAAUUAAAAACCAAGGUUAGGAUGCUGAUCAGUCAUACCUAACCCCGAGCAGGCCCCGCCAUGCUCUAUCACUGGAUCCAAGGCACUCAUUGGCCUAACAUGACCACGAAUCUGGUCCACAGGUUUAUAUAAAAACAAUAAUCCAAUUCUCUAAUUCAAUUCAAGAAGCCAAUGUAAAUUAACAGAACAUCAUCAUAAAUAUCAUCAACAACAGAAUAAUUCCAAUUCAAACUUUGAUAAUAAUCUAUUCAUAAAUCAUGAUCCAUCAUUUCAUAAAUCACAGUUCAGGAAAUCCUCAACUAUUCAGUAUCCUCCAUUAUCGGCUAAGCAACUGAAUUUAGCCUGCUAAACCAGCAUGACAAUGGCGGGUUGAAUAAUCAAGAAGAUCCCAAUUCAUUCAAAGCUCUAACUAUCACUGAGCAACACAUGCUUCAAUGACAAUCUGAACUUCGAAUUAAUUUGUAAAACGGAAAUUCUUUAGAAACUUGAAGAUUAGAAAGAAUGGGUCAGAAUACUCGCACUUUCGAACAUUGAAAAGAAAGGUAUGAAUACUUGAAGCAUAUACCAAAGGAUUGGAUCAGAAUAUUUGCAAUAUAUGCAAGAGAAAGGUUUAGGAUACUUGCCUUAAAUCCAGUUCCCAACUCAUAGCUCAAUCUCAUCUUUCCACUUUCACAAUCUAUGCAUAACAUACUCUCUAGACCAUCUCUGGCUAUACUCUAUUCGCAAUAUAGCUUCACUUCCUCGAUUCGUGCCUUAUUCGCUUUGCAAUACCAUUCCGACUUUCUGACGUCUUCGAGCGUACACGUCUCGUCCAAAUCCUUUACGAGAAUAAAAUAAUACUAUAAUCACUAAUCAAUUUAUCGCAUAUACAUAUCACGUAUAUCGAUACCCACUUAUAUACCCCUUUAAACUUAUCAGAUAUCACUUAACACAUAAGCAUGCUCUGACUCUAUCAUAUAGUCAAGUCAUCUCCACAUAACAUAUUACCAAUCAGUAAUCAUAUAAAUCCUGUCGAAAAUCUGACAUCGUCUCAUCUAUUUAUAGAACUAUCCAUAUGUCAACCUAUUCCCAACCAACAACCAAUCAACCCACUUGAAUUCCUAUAAUCCAUAUACUCUUAUCCAAUAUCAAUCAUUACACAAAACUAUGUCAUCCAAGUCAUUUAUCCCAUGUGUAUAAUAUCAAACUAACACAUAUUUCACAUAAUCAUCACUUAAUAGCAAUUAGAUCACAUAUUAUCACAUUCUGCAUACUUAUCAACAAUUAUUCACCUUCUAGACUCGGCCAUAUAGUCGCAUUAUAUUAAAAUAGACGUUAUAAGCUUUUGUCUCUCUUUCGUUUCACUUGAUUCCGACUUACGAACCAAAAGUUAUGCUCAAAACAGUUUUCUCACUCUCCUAUCGGCACAUAACACAUCCAACCAAUAGCAGACAACACACAACACAUAAGGUUUCCCAUCCCAAUUGAUAUUAAAUCAAGUCUUGGGUUAAAAAUGAUUUUUCGGAAAUUUUCUAGAAUUUUUAAACAUUUUUCGGAAUUAAAAUCGAUAAAAGAAUCACUUUUCGGAUAAAUAAUCAAGUCCCAAAUACUUGAAAUUGGACUUGAAAUCAUUCAUAAACAAUUAUCGAGCCUUGAAAAUAAUUUGGAAAAAUAUUUUAAAGCUCGAAACUAUUUUUCGGAAUUUUUAAAUAAAAAAGGAUAAUUAAAUCCAAUUAAUUAACCAAUUAAAAUCAAUUAAUAAUUAAUUAAAAUAAUUAAUCAAUUAAUAUUUAAAUUAAUUGACCAAUUAAAAUAAUUAAUUACUAAUUAAAAUUAAUUAAUAAACUAAUUUAGAUUUAUUUUUGAAUAAAUAAAUAAUUAGAAACUAUUUUUGAAAAUUAAAAUUAAAAAGGUUUAAAGUGUAAAUGUUUAAAACUUUGUCGCAGGGUUAAAACUGCAACAUUUUAAACGUUCAGGGGGUGUUUUGUCAGGAACGAAACCUUGGUGGCUCAACUUCACCACCUCCAAACGUUGAGGGACCAAACUGCAAUUUUUGCAGCGGCACCCCCUGACUUCGCCGGAGGUGGCGAUUCCGGCCACCUUUGGCUCCGAAACUCUCCAGAACCAACAUACCAUGCACCAGAAAUCUAUAUCAACCAUCAAUUGCAUCAAACUCAGCGCGUAUUGUCCGGCAAAAGAAAGAACAAUCCCGCCGGCGGCGGGACUGUUUUCCCAGAUUCCGGCGGCUCAAAACAGCGCCGUUCAUCACUUCCGAUUACACCUACACAACCCCUUUCACAUGCUAAACACAGGGGUGACAACCAAAUACACCCAGAUUAAGCCAAAAUGAAAACCCCUGUUUUUCAAUUUAAAAUAUUCAAACUAAACGAAGAACACUCAAGAACAUUCCACCUCAAAAUCAAACCACUGUUUCUAUAUGAUUCUGAACCCCAAAUUCAACAUAUAAUAUACUAAAACGACGAGAAAAACACGCUCUACAACAUGGCAUCAUCAAAUCAAUCAAACAAUCACGUUUGCAAAAAUUCAUAAUUUAAAUCAUAAUCAUUCGAAAUUUGUAAAAUUAAUAAUAAUUCACCUGUUGAAUCUGCACACAAACAGAUGAUUAAACUUGAUUCUACGCGUCGAUAUCUUCGUUUUGACUAUUCAUACGCCUCCAUCGGAUUUCAAUAACACCUCCAAAUCCUCGUUUGAUUACGAAGAACACGAAGAACGCAACUCGGUUUCUCUCGGUAUUCGUGAAAAGAA